AAAAAAUCAUGAAUUUUACAGAAGUGUACCUCUUUCCCCAAAAAAGUUUCCUGAAUUUUAGAAUAUUAAAAAUUUGGUGAAAGUUCUAAAAUUUGAAAAAUGUUUGCGCAUAUAAAAUAUAGGACACAGAGAGAGGGCUGCGUGCAUGGGCUGGCCUAUCCAAACGAACUUCAACCUACAGGCGUCAACUGGGAGGUCUCCUGCUAUACAUCGCUUGCAUCGAACACAAAGGUCGCCUGCAGCGCUCAGCGCUCGCGUCCUCUCUUUCUCCAGGCAUGCGAACUACGUCGACGUAUGCACCUGUCACCUGCCUUCCCUAGUUGUGCCACGAUUUCCUGAUGUUCAACAAACGCUCCAGAAAAGCCAUGGAAUGUGUAAUAUUUUCCAUUAUAUUUUUGCCAUGUAUUCAUUUCAAUUGGUUUGUAAAUGAAAUUAAAAGUAUCCACGUGUUAUACCACAUUUUUUGAGCCAA
rnacentral:lncRNA from 1 species